AGUGAACGCUGGCGGUAGGCCUAACACAUGCAAGUCGAACGGCAGCACAGUAAGAGCUUGCUCUUACGGGUGGCGAGUGGCGGACGGGUGAGGAAUACAUCGGAAUCUACUUUUUCGCGGGGGAUAACGUAGGGAAACUUACGCUAAUACCGCAUACGACCUACGGGUGAAAGCAGGGGAUCUUCGGACCUUGCGCGAUUGAAUGAGCCGAUGUCGGAUUAGUUAGUUGGCGGGGUAAAGGCCCACCAAGGCGACGAUCCGUAGCUGGUCUGAGAGGAUGAUCAGCCACACUGGAACUGAGACACGGUCCAGACUCCUACGGGAGGCAGCAGUGGGGAAUAUUGGACAAUGGGCGCAAGCCUGAUCCAGCCAUACCGCGUGGGUGAAGAAGGCCUUCGGGUUGUAAAGCCCUUUUGUUGGGAAAGAAAAGCAGCAGGUUAAUACCCCGCUGUUCUGACGGUACCCAAAGAAUAAGCACCGGCUAACUUCGUG
rnacentral:rRNA from 1 species